rnacentral:rRNA from 1 species
AUUGAACGCUGGCGGCAUGCUUUACACAUGCAAGUCGAACGGUAGAGGGGGCAACCCCUUGAGAGUGGCGAACGGGUGAGUAAUGCAUCGGAACGUGCCCAGUCGUGGGGGAUAACGCAGCGAAAGCUGUGCUAAUACCGCAUACGAUCUCUGGAUGAAAGCGGGGGACCGAAAGGCCUCGCGCGAUUGGAGCGGCCGAUGUCAGAUUAGGUAGUUGGGGGGGUAAAGGCCUACCAAGCCAACGAUCUGUAGCUGGUCUGAGAGGACGACCAGCCAGACUGGGACUGAGACACGGCCCAGACUCCUACGGGAGGCAGCAGUGGGGAAUUUUGGACAAUGGGCGCAAGCCUGAUCCAGCAAUGCCGCGUGCAGGAAGAAGGCCUGCGGGUUGUAAACUGCUUUUGUACGGAACGAAACGGUCUGGGUUAAUACCCUGGGCUAAUGACGGUACCGUAAGAAUAAGCACCGGCUAACUACGUGCCAGCAGCCGCCGUAA